rnacentral:rRNA from 1 species
GAAGCUUGCUUCUCUGAUGUUAGCGGCGGACGGGUGAGUAACACGUGGAUAACCUACCUAUAAGACUGGGAUAACUUCGGGAAACCGGAGCUAAUACCGGAUAAUAUUUUGAACCGCAUGGUUCAAAAGUGAAAGACGGUCUUGCUGUCACUUAUAGAUGGAUCCGCGCUGCAUUAGCUAGUUGGUAAGGUAACGGCUUACCAAGGCAACGAUGCAUAGCCGACCUGAGAGGGUGAUCGGCCACACUGGAACUGAGACACGGUCCAGACUCCUACGGGAGGCAGCAGUAGGGAAUCUUCCGCAAUGGGCGAAAGCCUGACGGAGCAACGCCGCGUGAGUGAUGAAGGUCUUCGGAUCGUAAAACUCUGUUAUUAGGGAAGAACAUAUGUGUAAGUAACUGUGCACAUCUUGACGGUACCUAAUCAGAAAGCCACGGCUAACUACGUGCCAGCAGCCGCGGUAAUACGUAGGUGGCAAGCGUUAUCCGGAAUUAUUGGGCGUAAAGCGCGCGUAGGCGGUUUUUUAAGUCUGAUGUGAAAGCCCACGGCUCAACCGUGGAGGGUCAUUGGAAACUGGAAAACUUGAGUGCAGAAGAGGAAAGUGGAAUUCCAUGUGUAGCGGUGAAAUGCGCAGAGAUAUGGAGGAACACCAGUGGCGAAGGCGACUUUCUGGUCUGUAACUGACGCUGAUGUGCGAAAGCGUGGGGAUCAAACAGGAUUAGAUACCCUGGUAGUCCACGCCGUAAACGAUGAGUGCUAAGUGUUAGGGGGUUUCCGCCCCUUAGUGCUGCAGCUAACGCAUUAAGCACUCCGCCUGGGGAGUACGACCGCAAGGUUGAAACUCAAAGGAAUUGACGGGGACCCGCACAAGCGGUGGAGCAUGUGGUUUAAUUCGAAGCAACGCGAAGAACCUUACCAAAUCUUGACAUCCUUUGACAACUCUAGAGAUAGAGCCUUCCCCUUCGGGG